CCUACGGGAGGCAGCAGUGGGGAAUAUUGCACAAUGGGCGAAAGCCUGAUGCAGCGACGCCGCGUGAGGGAUGACGGCCUUCGGGUUGUAAACCUCUUUCAGCAGGGAAGAAGCGAAAGUGACGGUACCUGCAGAAGAAGCGCCGGCUAACUACGUGCCAGCAGCCGCGGUAAUACGUAGGGCGCGAGCGUUGUCCGGAAUUAUUGGGCGUAAAGAGCUCGUAGGCGGUCUGUCGCGUCGGAUGUGAAAGCCCGGGGCUUAACCCCGGGUCUGCAUUCGAUACGGGCAGACUAGAGUGUGGUAGGGGAGAUCGGAAUUCCUGGUGUAGCGGUGAAAUGCGCAGAUAUCAGGAGGAACACCGGUGGCGAAGGCGGAUCUCUGGGCCAUUACUGACGCUGAGGAGCGAAAGCGUGGGGAGCGAACAGGAUUAGAUACCCUGGUAGUCCACGCCGUAAACGGUGGGAACUAGGUGUUGGCGACAUUCCACGUCGUCGGUGCCGCAGCUAACGCAUUAAGUUCCCCGCCUGGGGAGUACGGCCGCAAGGCUAAAACUCAAAGGAAUUGACGGA
rnacentral:rRNA from 1 species